AUGAACGCUGGCGGCGUGCUUAACACAUGCAAGUCGAACGAGGAUUUAACGGAAUGCGAUUCGUCAAAUGAAAUUAAAUCCGAGUGGCGGACGGGUGAGUAACGCGUGGAUAACCUGCCUCACACAGGGGGACAACAGCCGGAAACGGCUGCUAAUACCGCAUAACACAAGUAAUUCGCAUGAAUAACUUGCCAAAGAUUUUAUCGGUGUGAGAUGGAUCCGCGUCUGAUUAGCCAGUUGGCGGGGUAACGGCCCACCAAAGCGACGAUCAGUAGCCGACCUGAGAGGGUGACCGGCCACAUUGGGACUGAGACACGGCCCAAACUCCUACGGGAGGCAGCAGUGGGGAAUAUUGCACAAUGGGCGAAAGCCUGAUGCAGCGACGCCGCGUGAAGGAUGAAGUAUUUCGGUAUGUAAACUUCUAUCAGCAGGGAAGAAAAUGACGGUACCUGACUAAGAAGCCCCGGCUAACUACGUGCCAGCAGCCGCGGUAAUACGUAGGGGGCAAGCGUUAUCCGGAUUUACUGGGUGUAAAGGGAGCGUAGAUGGCAUGGCAAGUCUGAAGUGAAAGCCCGGGGCUUAACCCCGGGACUGCUUUGGAAACUGUUAAGCUAGAGUGCAGGAGAGGUAAGCGGAAUUCCUAGUGUAGCGGUGAAAUGCGUAGAUAUUAGGAGGAACACCGGUGGCGAAGGCGGCUUACUGGACUGUAACUGACAUUGAGGCUCGAAAGCGUGGGGAGCAAACAGGAUUAGAUACCCUGGUAGUCCACGCGGUAAACGAUGGAUGCUCGCUGUUUGCGUCUGACGUAAGCGGCCAAGCGAAAGCGUUAAGCAUCCCACCUGGGGAGUACGCCGGCAACGGUGAAACUCAAAGGAAUUGACGGGGACCCGCACAAGCGGUGGAGCAUGUGGUUUAAUUCGACGCAACGCGAAGAACCUUACCAAGUCUUGACAUCCCGGUGACCGGUCAGUAACGUGACCUUUUCUUCGGAACACCGGUGACAGGUGGUGCAUGGUUGUCGUCAGCUCGUGUCGUGAGAUGUUGGGUUAAGUCCCGCAACGAGCGCAACCCCUGUUCUUAGUAGCCAGCAGUAAGAUGGGCACUCUAGGGAGACCGCCGGGGAUAACCCGGAGGAAGGUGGGGAUGACGUCAAAUCAUCAUGCCCCUUAUGAUUUGGGCUACACACGUGCUACAAUGGCGUAAACAAAGAGAGGCGAGACCGCGAGGUUAAGCAAAGCUCAAAAAUAACGUCUCAGUUCGGAUUGUAGUCUGCAACUCGACUACAUGAAGCUGGAAUCGCUAGUAAUCGCAGAUCAGAAUGCUGCGGUGAAUACGUUCCCGGGUCUUGUACACACCGCCCGUCACACCAUGGGAGACGGAUAUGCCCGAAGUCAGUGACCCAACCGCAAGGAGGGAGUUGCCGAAGGUGGAGCCGUUAACUGGGGUG
rnacentral:rRNA from 1 species